CCACUCAUAAAUUACUUUCUUUUGUCAUUCCAGAGUGGAACAGUAUGAGAAAUGACGAGUUUUAAUCUGGAAAGAUUAAUUACUAAUUAUUACGUUAUGUAUGGUGUGUUAUUUCUGUGACAAGCCAACUUAUUAUUAUAACAAUUUCUGAGGUGGCCGAAUAAGUGCUGUCAUUCUAUACAUCGAUUGAUAGGGCUCUUUCCUUAGAAGUCAUUACUGCAGCAAAGGAUGGGGAAGACAACUCGUGUUCUUAUAUGUGGACUGAAAGGGGUUGGGAAGACAGCUGUACUGGAGCAGCUUAUAUAUGGCAACAUUACCAAGAAUACGGAAUUACACUCAACGAUAGAAGACAUUUAUGUUGCAAGUAUAGAAACAGAUAGAGGAGCAAGAGAAAAGGUUCGUUUUUAUGACACAGCAGGCCUAGAUGGUGGGCGAGAACAGAAUCAGUUGGCCCGUCAGUAUCUUGGUUUGACUGAUGGCUAUGUCCUGGUGUAUGACCCUGAUCGACCAGAAUCACUAGAUGCACUUGUGAUGGCCAAGAAGGAUAUUGACCAUAACAGGGACAAGAAAGAGGUGUCCAUGAUCGUACUUGGGAACCGAAUGAAACCCAUGGAUGUGGGAAACCUUGAAAACACGGCAAGUAAAGCUGCACACUGGGCUACCAGAGAAAAGAUUCGACACUACGAAAUAAACGCAAUGGAUCGGACAACUCUGUAUGAACCAUUUGUUCACUUGGCCACCAAACUGAACCCACCUCCUAACAAGAGUACUUUUCCACAACUCAGUAUGGUGAGGAAGUCGAUUAGCAGACCAGACACCAAUUAAGGAGGACACGCCUCUGCAAACCUGGGAUUCCCAACCGUGGAGUGUCACGUGACAACCAUGCCCUCUGCGUCCGACAGCGUCUUCCGCCAUUAUUCUUCACCGGUCACCGCACACAUAACAUAAUUAUAACGAAUAUAUCUUGUUUGUUUCACUAAUGAGGAAUUCGUAUCGCCGUGUAGACCAUCCGAUCGUGACUUAUGGCAGUCCUUGUGCGUUUUGCAUCAAGUCUCAUUGGCACUAAGAUCGAUGACCAGGCAAGCCGUUUUUACUGCUUGCUGGUGUCUUGCUGCCGGGUAUUCCGGCAGGACGGUGUACUAUAAAGCUACGUCCAGGCAGGCCAGUCUAUUAGCAGGGCGGUGUAUCGUCAGACCGAACACACUUUCCCCCAGUAUGCCGGCAGCUUGCCAGGCACAGCGGUGUUGUUUCAGAGACGGGUCCGGCAGAGACUAGUUCUGAUAAGGAUUGGUCAGGAUUUUCACCAACCUGAAUACCACCAUUGCCACUGCCAUACCUAGGGGGCAGAUUUAAUUGAUGAGGUUAGAUUAGUUUAGGUUGAUUCUAGCUAGGUUAUGUUGCUUUGGGAUAAUUAAGGUUAGUUUAGGGUAGGUCAAAUCAGUAUGUGCAGGAUUAGGUUAGAUUACGUGAUACCCGUGUCGCUGAAAUUUCGAAAUUAUAUUUUAUACAUCAGUGGUCCCAACCUUUUUGUGCCUGUAGGCACCCCCUCGCUGCCCCGGGUGCCAACCGUAGGCACCCCCUAGCCGCCCCUGGUGCCAACCGUAGGCACCCCCUAGCCGCCCCUGGUGCCAACCGUAGGCACCCUCCCGCCCCGGGUGCCAACUGUAGGCACCCUUAAAAGGGCACCCCCAAAAAAACCUCCCCGCGAAGGGAGGUGGAGGCCCAGGCCGAUCCUUGAGCGAGCAGAGGCGCGGACCCGGCUCCUGACAAUGGCCCGGGCUUUGCACUUGCACGCUACGGAAAAUAGGACCUUGUAGGCGAGGUAAGUU